UGUCGGUCCGGCUAGAACAUUAGAGUGGUUACAAAUCCUCUUUCCUUCCGCAUUUAUCUCAACAAAAACUCGACUGACUCUCCUUUUUUUUCUCCCCAGGUUCGACUUUGUUCUUCGACAGUGAGUGACUCGUCAACCCAACCCCAAACUUACAAAUGAAACGGCGGUGGUAUUCAACAGAGUGUAUUUGCAGAUCCUUGAAGUUACACUAGAUGAAUAACACUGUACCUGCCUAUUGACAAUGACCCAACACACCUCCAGGCUGUGUAAGGGCUAUUUGACCAAGAAGGAGAGUGAUGG